rnacentral:lncRNA from 1 species
UACAUCCUUUGUGACCAUAUCCAUGUUGAGUGGCUUUCCAAUGGAGCUAGUCAAUCUACUAAGAACUGAUUUGGAUUGCAACGAGAUAGGUACAUUCGAGAAGUUCUGCACUAGUAUUUGCAAUUAGUUUAAUAUCAGCACCCCAUUGACCGAACAUAAACGCAUAAUUCUUCAUAUGCCAAGGACCGGGACUAACCAACCAGUCGCAUGUUUCCAUAUAGGGGAACUAAAACAAGAAGAGUCUGUUAUCCAUAGCAGAAACCCUAACAUAACCAUCACGCCCCCACAAUCGAUUCGCAAUAGCCUUCUGAUCACACACAAAUGGUGGAUCAUCAAGAAACUGCGCAACAAGGCAACACUUCCACCAUUCUAGUCCUUCAUCCACUGCUUCCUGAGGAAUAUGAAGAACACCGUCAAUAAAGUCCGGUUCUACAAAAUCAAGCUCUAGGUCCUUUGACACCAAGAAGAGAUCAACCCAGGAUUUAAGGUUUUCACUCAUCAGAACAAAUCAAUCGAUUAUCAGAGAAGAGAAAAGGAGAGAAAGAACAAAACGUGGAGCACGCCAGGCAGCUCCGUUCGAUACACCACCAACGGAACCCCAUUGCAGGAGCGCACCCGCUGCAGAACGGCUCAACGAAGGGAUGCACGCCUCAGCGAGGAUCAGCGAAAAAAAAAGACAAAAAAAGGAACGCCUUGAUCCUAAAGGAGUUCUCAGAUACUAGUUAUCAUAGACGGAGACCUUGCCAAGCGAUGCCCGACGGGAGCUCACCUGCAACCCGAGCAAGAUCUAGCAAGGGCUCGCCUUAGAUCGCGAAAACAAAGAGUUUUCUCGAGAGCAUCCAUUUUCCUCCCACAUUUUCUACAUGCAUUUGAAAUGAUGAAAUUGCUUGUAUUAUAUAUGAGAAGAAAAGUUGUAGAUAAUAUACAUCUAAAGCAUCAACAUACAACAAGACCAAAACAAUACCCAACAGUAUUAGGAGCCGAGCCCACCUACACUUUAUCAAAAGCAGAGCAAAACCCAAACCAUCACAAUAUAUACAAACAUGCACCUGCAUAGAUAACAAAACUGUGUUGCAAUACAAGUCAUUUGAUGCAUAUUUUGUGAAUAAAACAUUAGUUACCUCUUAAAAGCUUGGAGCAUCAGCCCCGACAGAAGUUAAGGGAAUGAAAUUU